CGUAGGGUGCAAGCGUUAAUCGGAAUUACUGGGCGUAAAGCGUGCGCAGGCGGCUUUGCAAGACAGAUGUGAAAUCCUCGGGCUCAACCUGGGAACUGCAUUUGUGACUGCAUGGCUGGAGUACGGUAGAGGGGGAUGGAAUUCCGCGUGUAGCAGUGAAAUGCGUAGAUAUGCGGAGGAACACCGAUGGCGAAGGCAAUUCCCUGGACCUGUACUGACGCUCAUGCACGAAAGCGUGGGGAGCAAACAGGAUUAGAUACCCUGGUAGUCCACGCCCUAAACGAUGUCAACUGGUUGUUGGACGGCUUGCUGUUCAGUAACGAAGCUAACGCGUGAAGUUGACCGCCUGGGGAGUACGGCCGCAAGGUUG
rnacentral:rRNA from 1 species